rnacentral:rRNA from 1 species
UGGGGAAUAUUGCACAAUGGGCGCAAGCCUGAUGCAGCCAUGCCGCGUGUGUGAAGAAGGCCUUCGGGUUGUAAAGCACUUUCAGCGGGGAGGAAGGCGGUGAGGUUAAUAACCUCAUCGAUUGACGUUACCCGCAGAAGAAGCACCGGCUAACUCCGUGCCAGCAGCCGCAGUAAUACGGAGGGUGCAAGCGUUAAUCGGAAUUACUGGGCGUAAAGCGCACGCAGGCGGUUUGUUAAGUCAGAUGUGAAAUCCCCGGGCUCAACCUGGGAACUGCAUCUGAUACUGGCAAGCUUGAGUCUCGUAGAGGGGGGUAGAGUUCCAGGUGUAGCGGUGAGAUGCGUAGAGAUCUGGAGGAAUACCGGUGGCGAAGGCGGCCCCCGGGACGAAGACUGACGCUCAGGUGCGAAAGCGUGGGGAGCAAACGGG